rfam:Gossypium raimondii Chr06_contig_1305, whole genome shotgun sequence.
UAUUAAAAAUUUCAUCCAUUUGUACUAUUGACAAUAUUGACAGAAUAACCACAUAGUGACACAUGGUGUGCCACAUGUAUCUCAUGGUGACAUAGGAGAACCAUUUUUUUACUGCAAAAAUUGAUAGAAUUUUUAACA